CCUACGGGGGAUAGCAGUGAGGAAUAUUGGUCAAUGGGCUUACGCCUGAACCAGCCAAGUCGCGUGAGGGAAGACUGCCCUAUGGGUUGUAAACCUCUUUUGUCAGGGAGCAACGCCGGCUACGUGUAGCCGGACUGAGAGUACCUGAAGAAAAAGCAUCGGCUAACUCCGUGCCAGCAGCCGCGGUAAUACGGAGGUUGCGAGCGUUAUCCGGUUUUAUGGGGUUUAAAGGGUGCGUAGGCGGAAUGCCAAGUCAGCGGUAAAAUCGCGGGGCUCAACCUCGAUCCGCCGUUGAAACUGGCGUUCUUGAGUGGGCGAGAAGUAUGCGGAAUGCGUGGUGUAGCGGUGAAAUGCAUAGAUAUCACGCAGAACUCCGAUUGCGAAGGCAGCAUACCGGCGCCCAACUGACGCUGAAGCACGAAAGCGUGGGUAUCGAACAGGAUUAGAUACCCGAGUAGUC
rnacentral:rRNA from 1 species